GAUGAACGCUGGCGGCGUGCCUAAUACACGCAAGUCGAGCGAACAGACGAGGAGCUUGCUCCUCUGACGUUAGCGGCGGACGGGUGAGUAACACGUGGAUAACCUACCUAUAAGACUGGGAUAACUUCGGGAAACCGGAGCUAAUACCGGAUAAUAUAUUGAACCGCAUUGUUCAAUAGUGAAAGACGGUUUUGCUGUCACUUAUAGAUGGAUCCGCGCCGCAUUAGCUAGUUGGUAAGGUAACGGCUUACCAAGGCAACGAUGCGUAGCCGACCUGAGAGGGUGAUCGGCCACACUGGAACUGAGACACGGUCCAGACUCCUACGGGAGGCAGCAGUAGGGAAUCUUCCGCAAUGGGCGAAAGCCUGACGGAGCAACGCCGCGUGAGUGAUGAAGGUCUUCGGAUCGUAAAACUCUGUUAUUAGGGAAGAACAAAUGUGUAAGUAACUAUGCACGUCUUGACGGUACCUAAUCAGAAAGCCACGGCUAACUACGUG
rnacentral:rRNA from 1 species